AGAAGGAUGCUUCUCUCCCUAGGGCAGGCCUGUGAGCCACCAGACCUUCGCUCCUAACAUUGCCCCACAGAGAUCUGGCUUUGGGGCUUGUUGAGGAAAUGAAUUGGCUCACUACCUCCUUGCAGCCGGUAGGGUAAGAUACUGGUGCCUCGUUUUGCCAGAAAAGAAGAGGAAGAAAUUAAGAAAUGGGGCCUGGCCGGCAUGGCUCAGUGGUUGAGCAUCGACCUAUGAGCCAGGAGGUCAUGGUUUGAUUCCCGGUCAGGGCACAUGCCAGGGUUGCAGGCCGGAUCCCCAAUGUGGGGCAUGCAGGAGGCAGCCGAUCAUUGCUUCUCCGCCAUCAUUGAUGUUUCUAACUCUCCCUCUCCCUUCCUCUCUGAAAAAAAAAAAAGAAAGAAAGAAAGAUAGAAAAAUGUGGCCAACAGAUCCAGGAGCAACCACAGAGCUUUACUGCCCACUUUAGGGUGGCGGUCGGUAGGCCAAACUAUGAAGGUUGCUGAUGUCUUUCCAUCCCUCCUCCCUUGGGUAGGGCAGUUAAGACCAUCUCGCUCUUGUGGGAAAUUUAGAGCCUGGAAGGUUAUUAAAAACAUGAUGAUUUAAAAAAAAAAUCACAUUAAAUGUCUCAUUUUGCGUAUUCUUUACAGUUUUCAUUCUCUAUCGGCUGGAUGAGACUGCCUAACCACACCCGGUCAUUCUGGGCUGCCUGUUCUAAUGAGCUGUUUGCUCAGGCCGGUGAGAUUUCUGACACUGACUUAGCAAAGCAGAGCCCUUUCCCCAAGGACUUCCGGAUCUCUCGCAGCAAGUGGUCCUGGUUAGAGCCCUGGUUUCAGGAGCUAGGGGUUCAUUCUCCCAAGGAAGGUUCUCUCUCAGAGACCUGGGGUCACAUUAGGAAAAACUUUUUUUUUUUAAUUGAUUUUUAGAGAGAGGGAAAGACAGAGAGAAAUAUCGAUGUGAGAGAAAUACAGUGAUUGGUUGCCUCCUGCAUACACCCUGACCAGGGCCCAGGCCGGGGAGGAGCCUGUAACCGAGGUACAUGCCCUUGACCGGAUCGAACCCAGGACCCUUUGGUCUGCAGGCCGACACUCUAUCCACUGAGCCAAACAGGCUAGGGCAGGAAAAACAUUUUGAAUCUAGGGCUUGCUUUGGAUCUGAUGAGUUGGUCUGAGAAGUGACAGAAGAGUCACUAUUGCACGCAAAGGACCAACAACAUCUUCGGGCCUGACUGCCAACAGCCACCAUGGCCCAUGCCUGUCACUACAGGCCAAGCAAGGAGAAAGGAGGGCAUAGAAGGAGGCAGGUGGAAAGAGAGAGGAGCCAGCCAGUGCAAAAGCAGACCCACGGUAGCGAGAGUUCAAACACCAGCUUCUAGAAGAAGCAGAGGCAGACACAGAUUUCAUUGAUGCCGGCCCAAGAACUGUAGAGGAUCCAGUGGGAAAGUUUGGAGUGAGGAGUGGCGACAUGGGAAUAAGAGUUUGCGCGUUGACAGGUGUCUUAGGUCUGGAUCCCUUGAAGUAAAGCCUGUGAGAGAGGUGAGUAAUCUCUGGUUGGGUGAGGAAGGGGGAGGAGGAUGCGAGGAGCGGGCAGGAGCUCUGCAGACUCCCCUGAAACCCUGCUGCAGGGAGAGCUAGGCUUAGAGGGGUAGCUUAGACACAGCAAGUAUUAAGGCACUAUUUUCAAGCUAAUCUUUUUUUUUUUUUUUAAAGCCAUUGUGAAUGUAACCUAGAUAUAAAAUACAUUAAACAACUAUUUAGGGAAAUCUUUAUUUUAAAUAUCGCAGAAGCUUUGUGUUAAUAGAACCCCUCCCCCAAUUUUCAUGAACAUUAAAACAUUUACUAGUCUCAAAACAUGCAUAAUGACAGCGUUUUAAUCAUUCGCUUUCUACAUGCUUUUUAGAUCCUCUAACAUUAAUUUAAAUGACACCAAAUCAAUGAAAACUUAAAAACGUAUGUGUUGGGCUUAUUUUGCAGUUCGUGUCUAGAAAAUAAUACAUUUCCAUGUAUUAAUAUAUUUGUAAUAAAUGUAUUAAUCCACCUGUAUUAAUAUUACCCAUUUUGGGGUUGCUGUUAAGUAAAUGUUCUUGGAUUAUUACAUAGAUGUGGAUAACACAAUCCCAAUGCUGAGACGGAGGUUAUUUUACAUAGUUAAAAAUAGAAAAGCUAUCUUGUAAUAGAUUAGAAAAGAAUCUAUAAACAUAUACAGUCUCUGGCUUUUAUUCUGUUGUGUUUUGCUUUGGCUACAUGCAGAAGGCAUUUCAUUCCCAUUGUUCUAGAUUUCAUCUGACACAUGGGUAGGUGUUCCAUUUGGUACCUUCAGGUCUUGGUUUUACCCAAUAUGGAGACGAAGGUCUUUCAUUUUGCUGUGCUGCCUUUAUAGCUACUUAGACUAUUAUUUUUCCAAAGCUUGUGCUGAAAAGAGGUGGCAGGGUAGAAAACAUGUUGCAGGAAUUCUUUUUAUCCUCGGGUAAAACACCACCACCAACUUUUCACUUGUAAAGAAGUUCAGGAUCCCUCUUAUGACACACACAAACACUCAGACUCUCAGAGUCUCAAAAUACAGGAAACCGCUGGAGAUGGUAUUGCAGGAGCUUCGAACGCUGCCUCAGUCGCACAUUGACUUCCGUGCAAGACAAACCACAGGUGUUAUUCAUCUUCUGGCCUCUAGGCUUCAGCGCACCUCAAAGCACCCCAAAUGGUUCUCAAGCUUGAGUUGCAUUUAAAUCACCCGGAGGGCUAGUUAAAACACAGAGCCAGGCCCACCCCCAGGGUUCCCGCUUCAUGGGUCUGGGCUGGCACCAGAAAAUUUGCAGCUCCAGCAUGAUUCCAGGAGAAGUGGAUGCCUCUGGUCCAAGGACCACGCUCUGAGAACUGCUGUCAUAAACAGUUCUUGCUGAGCCACCAGAAGAUGAUCUAGAUGCUAUGAAAUGGGUGGCUCUACAGCCAGAUGAAUCCAUCCUGGGCUCACGCUGUUUCCAUGGAGCUCACAAUUGUCACCACAGAGUGAAGACCAGGUGGGCACAGGUCAUUUCCCAUUUUCAGUUCCUAUGUCUCGCCAUCAAGGAGGUAUCCACACCUGAUAUCCUCGUCCUUAGCCCUCUUAAAACUUGUCCCCCUCCCAUGUCAUUCCCUCUUACUGGAGUUCAGAGAAAUGGUUAAUCCGGAGAGAGGAAACGAAGGACUGAGCUCUGUUAGUCCUGGCAAAAAUUCUAAGACAUUCCUAGGCACAGACCGGUCAAGGACAACUACGCCAUUUCCGAGCGGAAACAGUGCUUACCGGUACAAAGCUGACCUUAUUUUUUAAAAAACGAUGGGCUGUCCCACAGAACGGAGGGAACAGCGGUGGAUGUGUGUCCGGCCACUCCUCACCUUGCCCUCCCCGAUCCCCAACAAAAUGUCAGUCUUAACUUCUCUCCAAUUUCAACAAACAAUUAGAAAGAAGUCUCAAAGCUUCCAGACUAUGUCCUGGUUCUUAGCUCAUUUGCCCUCAGCAACAUCACAUUAAAAG